rnacentral:rRNA from 1 species
AAAGAUCAUCGCUUCGGGAUGAGCUCGCGGUCCAUCAGCUUGUUGGUGAGGUAACGGCUCACCAAGGCGACGACGGAUAGCUGGUCUGAGAGGAUGACCAGUCACACUGGGACUGAGACACUGCCCAGACUCCUAGGGGAGGCUGCAGUCGAGAAUCUUCCGCAAUGGGCGCAAGCCUGACGGAGCGAUGCUGCGUGCCGGACGAAGGCCUUCGGGUCGUAAACGGCUGUCACUCGGGACGAAUUUUGACGGUACCGAGAGAGGAAGCCACGGCUAACUACGUGCCAGCAGCCGCGGUAAUACGUAGGUGGCGAGCGUUAUUCGGAAUUAUUGGGCCUAGAGGGUUCGUAGGGGGUAAUGUAAGUCCGGUGUGAAAUCUCGAGGCUCAACCUCGAAACUGCAUUGGAAACUGCAUUACUUGAGUGUCAGAGAGGAAAGCGGAAUUCCUGGUGUAGCGGUGGAAUGCGUAGAUAUCAGGAAGAACACCGACGGCGAAGGCAGCUUUCUGGCUGGCAACUGACCCUGAUGAACGACAGCUAGGGUAGCGAACAGGAUUAGAUACCCUGGUAGUCCUAGCUGUAAACGUUGUGCACUGGAUGUGGGCGGAUUUGGUCCCGUCUGUGUCUGAGCGAAGGCGUUAAGUGACCGGCUGGGGACUACG